rnacentral:rRNA from 1 species
GUGCCAGCCGCCGCGGUAAUACCGGCAGCUCGAGUGAUGUCCAAUGUUAUUGGGCCUAAAGCGUCCGUAGCUGGCCGCGCAAGUCCAUCGGAAAAUCCACCCGCCCAACGGGUGGGCGUCCGGUGGAAACUGUGUGGCUUGGGACCGGAAGGCGCGACGGGUACGUCCGGGGUAGGAGUGAAAUCCCGUAAUCCUGGACGGACCGCCGAUGGCGAAAGCACUUCGAGAAAACGGAUCCGACAGUGAGGGACGAAAGCCAGGGUCUCCAACCGGAUUAGAUACCCGAGUAGUCC